AUACCUCUCUUCUUGCAGCAUGUAGAUGUGGAACACAGAGGAGAGAAGCAGCCUUGGGGGAAUGACACUGAACAGUGAAUCCUGAACCUUGACUAAUGUUUUGUUCGCUGCAACUCUCCUUACUAGGAACUAAUGCUGGGUCUGAUCCUGCACUGAAUGGUAAAACCAGAGUUAAGAAUAAUGGGAAAAAGUCAUAUUAUCAUCCUUUAUCCUGAGAGCAAUACAACUGAGUGGAACUUCAGUUCUACAUGCCAAAGGAGAUGGAUUGCUGAUCAAACUAGUCUGAUGACGCACCAGCAGACAGAAGACCUCCCACUGCCUGCUCUAACUGCUCCCUCACUUUCUCAAAUGCACGUCUUUACUAUUUUGACUUUAUCUGUAUCUUUGUGUAAUAAAAAUGAAGUCAUUUGUCUGGUAUGUAUUUACAUCACUGUGAUACCAGUCCUGUCUUUUCUCAAAUUGAUUUUCAUGUAUGUUACCCUAUUGCACAUUCCAAAGCUACCCCAAAAUAAUUAUGAUGAGAUGCUCAUCCUAAUACAGAGCAAAAACUACAUUCUUAACCUGAAGCUGCUUUUCAAUAUAUAUUCCGUGGAACAACUAUCUUUGAAAACUGUAACUCAGCUAGCUAUUGGGUUAGUACUUCACUAAUGACACACACAACAUCUUUCCAAAAGAAAAAUUCAUGUAAGAAUAAUCAGCAAUACAUGUUGCAAUUCAUUAGGAUCAGCACAUAGAACUAGUGCUGCUGGCAACACAAGUGACACACAAGUCAGCUCGUGGCAAAGACGUGUCACUGCCUCUAAUCACAAGAGGGGGGAACAUGAUAUCUCUGCUGAUCACAAGUACUUGCUCCAUUUAAAUUUAGUACUCAUGUUGAUUAAAAGGUUUUCUACUUUAAUCUUACUUAAUCAGAUAAAAAGACUUGGUACCACAUAUACAAGGCAGUAUCUAUGACUCAUGGGAAACUGCUGCUUAACAGAAUGAAUGCAGAAAACAGUUGUUCUCACAGAAAAAGGAGGAAAUUAUGUUUGUAACUACACCAUUCCUUGAAGAACAGCAAGGUUCAUAAUCAACUACAUAAUGAAACAGUAUUAUAGCUUUUUAUCAUACAUAAUAAAAGUAGUAUGAAUAUGUGAUACCUCUUUAUUAAAUGACCAGAGUGUUACUGAAGACAGACAAAAACUGUUCCUUUCUUGAGGAGAUAAAUUAAGAUAGAAAUAAAAAGGUAAAUGUACCUUUCUCCAACAUUUCAGAAUAUUAUGUGCAAGAAGGCAUGAUUAUAACUUGUGUAGCUUGAUUAUAGUUUAUGUGUAUGCACAGUUCUCAGGAUUGUAUGAACAGUCAGCUCACCAUCUAACCGGUUAUUCAGCCUCACAGCACUACUACAAGAGAGAUGUUAUAUUUUUGCAUGCAUAGUUUUGUUACAGAAAUAUUAGCCUGGGUUUCUUCCUGUAGAGGACUGAGGUCAUGUCUACACCAGAAAGUUCUUCUGGCAGGACUUUGGGCUGAUUACAGCUUGUACACAUUGCACUGGAAGCACAGAGACGUAAUUGCUGAACUGCCUUCACUAGUGCCAAGUGUCCUCCCCUUGAAAGACCAUUUGGCAAAAGAUGUGGUGUACAAACUUUCUAUUGACCCUAGCAACUCUGCUGAGCACAGUGCCUCGGGGACAUCUUGAAGCGUGUUGUGGGAUAUCAACAAGGAGCUCAGGUUCAAAUUCUUGUAACUGCCUUUCUUCCCACCCACUAUGUUUUUCCCAGUUUUUGACAUUGACAUUUCUGUUUUAAAUUUUUCAUAAUGCUUUUUCACCUUUCUGUUCAGUCUCUCAAUCAGGAAUAAGGACCCAGAGAGAUAAGUAGCACACUUUUUUUUGCCCACAGGCAAAAGCUCUCUGCAGACUCUACUCCUAGGGUAGCCAGUGUAUCUAUGGUAGAGACCAGGUGGCGUGGCUGAUGAUGGCAGUGUAUGAAAAGGGCAAGGUGUCCUAGACAUUUGCUGAACAGCACUGUGCAACAGAGCAGCAGGAAGCAAGCAUUGAAGAAUGUGCCAUGAUAGACUGUGGUACAAAUCCAGGAAAAUCACCAGUGACCCCAAAUUUCACAAAGGUUGAAAUGUCCUCUGGCACAGGGACACUGGUGGCAGCAGAUGGAGAUUGUUUAUUUGCCAGCCCUCAGCCCAGAUGCUGAUUCACUGGGGGCAAGAAGGUCCAGGGAGUUCACAGUGCUGUUACAGUACUGUUAAAUGGGCUCCAUCAGCUCUGGCAUAGCACAAUAUCCUCACAGCUGGAGGGAUGCACAGCCUUCCUCUCCUUUCCAUAUCCAAAAUUUGGCUCUGUCUGUCCAAGAUAGUUACUAAAGGUUAAUGAGGGAGGGGCUGGAAAGUCCCGAUGAGAACAGAUUAUCAGUCAGGUGUGCCAGAACUGUGGCAAUAGGAAUGACAGGCAGAUUUGAAAUAAUGGCACACCUGAGUUAUGGAAGAGGUAAAACUGUGGUGCAUAACUCAGUUUGACUCACCACAUUGUUCUUCUAAGUACAUUAGAACAGAGGAACAGCUUCGUACUUCUCUGACAGUGGCCAGCAACAGAUGCUGAGAGAAAAGAGGAGACCAGGAAAGUGGUGGCACUUCUGCAGAACACCCUCUCAGCCUCAGGACUUCCUAGGUCAGAGGUUUUCACAUUGUAUUUAAUCGCUUUUGAUUAAUUUCUUUCCAGUAAUUUGUGCUGUUGCUUUUUAAAACCCUGUGAAAUUUUAGUAUCCACAAAAAGCUGCGGUACGAACUUCUACAGUUUUUUUUUUUUAAGUUGCCUAUGGAACUACAUUAAUGAGUUUGCUUUGAAAAGGUAACUAAUUUAAUCUGAUGCUUAUUAUAUUUUAUACUGAAGGAGGCAGCAAGAAAUUGCUAGCUAUUUACUUUUUCAUGGCCAUGUGGGAUCUCAUAGUCUUCUACAACAGCACCCAUGCUUAUACAACAUGGAUGUUUCAUGGAUGUUUCAUUCACUAGGUGGAGAAGGUGUGUGAUGCCGCAACCUUAUAAGUAUACAGUCUUUUCCAACAAAACAAACAGGAACACAAUUCUGUGACCUACAUUUAUAGAUUUAGAGAACCAGUGCUAGUCUUAAAUGGCUGUUUGCUUCCUUGGUUUAUUAAAAGAUAGACUGACUAGCAAUAGACAGCCAUUUCCCUUUUUUCUGAACAGGGACAACAAGGCUGCUGAAUGUGUACCAAACAGACUGAAAAAUCCUGGCAGUGACUCAUGGCUAGCCUGAACCAUGAUGAGUAAAUAUCCUUAUUGUUGCUACUGUGUGUUAUGUUUUCCAUAUUUGUGGAACAAAAUCUAGCUGGAUAGAGGAGUGAAGUGUAAGGACUGCUGAUUUUGAAUAACCUGGCACAAUUAGAAGAGCUCAACAAGGCUAUAAAGGUCCCUUUAACAGUCAGACAUGCACAGCAAGCUGCUUGUGUCUAGUUGUUUACAUAGUUGGCUUGGAUUUAGAUUUUUCAUAAUUUGUAAAUGCCUCUUAUGAAUAGGGUAGAGGGGAUGCUAGAGCCUGUAAUGAUGUAUAAAUAGGAAUGUCUUAAUUAUUAGCUAUUUAAUGAUUUGAAAACAAAGUUAUACCAAAUUAUUAUGAACAAUGUGGAAAUAGCAACACAUUUCAGAGCUUAUGAACUUGAACAUUAAUACAUUUUUUUUUUAACCGAGUCA